GCCGAAACCAAGAGCUGGACGCUCAGUUGACUGAGCCACCCAGGUGCCUCCAGAAUACACAUUUUCCUUUCAAAUUCCAGAGUGAAAGCACAAGUCAGUGCGUUUCCUCAACCCACUGCAAAUCUCCAUAGCAACGGAAAAUGCCAGGCCUCGCAGGUAUGAACGGUGAGGAGCCAUUGACAGCUGUGAGAAACACUACCCAGCUGCCACGACUUUUCUCAGAAAAACCUGCUGUUCUUGCACCAGUGUCUUCCUCCAUGGGAACGUGUUCGGAGCAGGAGCGAAAUGGAAAAAUCCUCGUAUUAAGAUUCCGGUGCUAUGACCCGAACAGAGGACUCCAGGCGACUUUCCAGGAUGUGGAAAGCUAUCUGGCUGCAGGCAGGACCUUGCACUUGCCCAUGUGUGUGGACCCUGAGUAUAUACCGAGUUUCCAGCUAGCGAUGAGGCGCCCCUCUGUGGACGUGUUCAAAGACAGCCUUUAAAAAAAUCAUCAUCAUCAUCAUCAUCAUCAUCAUCAUCAUCAUCAGAUUUAGGAUCUGAAUGAAGGGAUUAAUGGCGUCCGGAGACAAGGUGAUUUCUGAGACUUCGAGACUUCGGUCUUUGGUUGCAGUACCGCCAGCAGCUGAGCCAUCCCGACACCCCACUGCUCUCAGUAACGAGAAGCCACUAUUUGCCUUCUCGUCGCCCCGCCAGGAAGAAGCCUACCAGGUAUCCUAGAACCCGUCCCAGACAGCCGUUGGAAGAUUUGGCUCCCCCUCUCUCCAAGCUUUUGGGAAGUAAUCGUAGCACUGCAGAAAAUGAGUGGCUCCUUUUUGAGAUGGAUUGAGAAGAAGCCUUGCUGAGGUUUCAUCGCAUAAACGGUGGCACGGCUUUCCCGCGCUCUCUCAACCGAUUGAAACAAAGAUGCUAAGCGUGAGGCUCUGUGUUCACUUACGCUUGAUUGUGUAUAAGCCCUGCAUAUCAGAUUGGGUACCUACCCAUGGACAGCGAAUGAGGAAGAAGAUGCCUCCGACUUGGGGCAGCUCAGUGGAUCCCCAGGCAGAGACCAGCAAUUAUCAGGUCUCUGCACGGGGCGUCUAGAAGACAGGCAAAUUCACGCAGCCCGGCCAAAGGGUGCAGAUUUACGCGCUGGCCUUUUCAGCUGGUCUUCAAAACUGAUUAGACGUUUGAAAAGGACACUCCUCCACAUUUCGUUUGUUCCUGAUAAUUCUCACUCCUUGAACUGUCCAGGCAGCUCAACAGAGAAGGGUAGAGAAGGUGAAGAAAACUACCAUCGUCGGUAGAUGCACGCUGUUCCCCUGCACAGGCGGAAAGGGAGAGGAGGGCAGAGCCGCGUGGAUUAAAUUGGCUGUCUUAUGCUGGGUCUCACCAGGCUUGAUGUUUUCGGCUUACCUCUGCAAUACCCGGAAUACAGCAGACCCCCCCUUAUCCACCGAGGAUACGUUUUAGGACCCCGAGUGGGUGCCUGAAAUGGUGGCGAGCAAAAUCACAGAGAGAAGACAGACUUCUUCAUUAUGUGCAGAAUAACACUUUAAUGGGCUUUUUCUUUAUGAAACUCAUAAAUCCCAGAUCAUCUUCUGGAAUAAAGAAUCUAAAUGUUUUCCAUAAUUAAAAUGUCUUCACUGAGGGCAGAAUUGCAAAUCUCAGAUGAUUUCCUUCUAGAAACAACUUUUUUCCGCCCUUCUGUGGAAGCCUCAGAAAAGACCCAUUUGGACUCCAAGUUGGGAAGACAUGGCCCUUUGGAAGCUGGGUUGGCCUUUUCGUCAUGACCAUGGGAUAGGGCCUACGGAGAACGGUGUCCAAUGGAAACCCGAGGAAGUCUUGGUGCAUUGGCUCCAAGAGCAGCCGAAGCUUCUGUUAUCCCCACGCUUUCACCAAAACCUUGUUAAUUAUUAUAAUCUAUAUUUAGCAUUAAGGGAUGGUCCAGGGUUCAGGCUUGAGCAGAGCAGUUCUGGAAACAACAGAAACCCCGGAAAAGCUAGAGUCCAGUCCAUGCGGGUGACUGGACGUGGGCCGGAGGAGCAGACAAGAACCAGACGGUGUCAUUUGGGGCAUCAUAGAAUACAGGCCUUGGACCACUGUCUCCAAGUUACUGAGCAUGUGACUCAUGUAGGCUAGAGGGGUCUGGGGCACUUGGGUGUCAGGCAAAUUUACCUAGCAACUCCUUAUGCUUUUAUAUGCAUGGCAUCCCACCCUGAAGUCACUGGCUCAAAUUCUUGGCUCAAGGACACACAGAACAUUCUUCUUAUUACUCCGAUUUCGCCCUCCCCAGCCAGGUUGAACCUCCCUGCAGGCACCUGUCGCCUAACACGGUUUCCAUAAAUACCUCUUGAAGAGCAGCCCAGGGCCUCGAGUCCCGUAACCCCUUUUCCACAAAGCCUUUUGGAGGCACAACAGAACUGUGGCUUAGAAACUUGGGAUCAUAAAGCCAGAAAAUGCUAGAUUCAACCCGUCAGGAAUAGCUUGCUCGUCGCCAGGUCUAACCCCCUGAGGAUCCACUUGUUCCUUGUUUUUCUUUUCUUUUUUUCUAUUUUUUUUUAACGCUUCAUUUAUUAUUGAGAGACAGAGAGACACAGAACGUGAGCAGGGGAGGGGCAGAGGGAGAGGGAGACACAGAAUCCGAAGCAGGGCUCCAGGCUCCGAGCUGUCAGCACAGAGCCCGACGCGGGGCUCGAACCCACAAACGGCGAGAUCAUGACCUGAGCCGAAGUCGGUCGCUUAACCGAGAACGACUUUCCGUCUCCUUGCGAACACUGAUGUUGCCAUCCGGCACCACCCAGCAGAAGAGGGGGGGAGGCUUGGUGCAAAGCCCUAUGUCCUCUUGAUCCUAAGGCCUCCAACUGGUCCACAUCUAGAGAUUCCAAAGAGGCAGCGGUGUGGGGGUCCCUGUUGUGAUGUCCUGUAUGGAGACUAGGACAGGCUGGCCUCAUACCUCCAGAAAGAGAGAAUUUUUCUUUUUUUAAAAAUCCCAGUUCCUUACUCCUGGAGCCUAAAUAGUUCAUCAUUUUCUUGCUGUCUUGCCCUCCUGCAGUGGGUUGAACGAUGUUCUUCCCCAACCUCCCCCCCACCCCCGGCCCGCCAAAGACAUGACUACAAAUAAUUAAGGAUCUCAAGAUAAGAUCAUUCUGCAUUCUCCAAAUUGCCACUGACUCCAAUGACAAACGAGUAUCCUUAAAAGAGACAGGGGAACAGCAGAGGGGAACACGCAGAGGAGAGGGGGCCACGUGAAGACAGAGGCAAAGGUCGGAACAAGGCAGCCACGAGGCGAGGAAGGCUCGGGGCCACCGGAAGCUGGAAGAGGCAAGGAAGGGUCCUUCCCCAGAGCCUUCGGAGGGAGCGCGGCCAUGCUGACCCCUCGAUUUGGGGCCUGAAGCCUCCAGAACAGCGGGAGAAGACAUUUCUAUUGCUCCAAGCCACCAAGUUUGUGGUAAUUUGCUACAGCGGUCCUAAGAGACCCAGACACCGAUGCACAGACACGCGCACACACGGUUCUGCCCCCCAAAAGAAUUGCAGAAAGAAAACUAGGUAGGGAGAAGUACCCAUAUCCUGGUAUUUCAGCUUGUGAAAACCUCGCGUGCGCAGAAAAGCCCCGUCUUCCCUACCUGAGGGAGGGAUCCCUGGGAGGGAUUGAUUCUCUCCAAGUCUCUUCCUUUGCUCCCUCUCCCGGGUCAGAGAAAGGCCGCUGGAUUCACUUAGCUGCUUUAAACAGUUGCCCGCUUGUUUUGCUUCCAAACUCACGUGCUCUCUCAAUCACAGGGGAGCCUGGCUGAACAAAGCCUGACAUGUCCUAGCUCUUGGGUCUGUGCCUGGAGUCGACAACCCUCACCAGGCAGGCUGCACAAAUCUCCCAGGAUGUCCCCGCAGAAUUCCCUCGGCUGCCUGGCUGUGGCCCUCCCUUCCUUCCCUCCCCUGAAGACAGCGCGGCGUGUCCGGAGGCUCCAUGGUGAGCGAAGAAUGUUCUCCAAGUGGCGUCAUACAGGCUGCCUCCGCAGCCCUGGUGGCUUCAGGAGGUCAAGGUCAAGGUGCACCCCCGCCCCAGCUCUGGAUAACCCAACUUUAAGAAAGGGUAGUCAGGGGUGGGGGGCAGCUUUGUUUACUGCCCCAAAGCGAAGUUUUCUUGAAGCCCAGGGCCCUCUCGAUGCGCUGGCCUCCAGGCCCGACCACCGUAGUGUUCCAAGGGGGACUUCAGAUCUUGGCACGCUCCGUGGGUACACCAGUUCCUGUGAACUGAGACGUCCGUGUAGUUUGGAACGAAAGGGCAUCAUGCUUUCAUGGUAGAGGUGGUGACCUUCCACAGCAGGGACGUUACCAGCCAAGGUAUCAACACAACUGGAGUGGAAUCUCUCUCCAGCGUCAGGUUUGAUAUAAUGAACUACAUGGAAGUGAGACAUCGUGUGUUUCUACCUCCAAAAUAUUUGAAUCAGCAAGUGUCCUUGUAAAUAAGAAGUUGACUUUUCGAGAGGAUUUUGUUACGAACAUGCGUAUUGCAAACGCAUUUCCUUUAUUACACCUUAACAGAAGACCCAACUGAUAUUAAUGAUUUUCCUACUUCAUAUCCCACGAGUUGUAUGGCAACCACGAAACAGGGUCAGGAUAAAAUGAGAAGUCAAAAAAAAAAAAUUGAAUUCUGGAGCUGGGCCGUGCGUGUUCUGGAGGUAUUUACACUCUGCGAAGAGUGACGCUCUCCUCUGCGCUGUGUGCAUCUAUAAAUCAUAUUUCAAAUUCCGCACCAAAUGAACUUAUCAACAGCCUUUGCUCAUGGCGUUCAUUGCCUCUGACAGAUCUAUCCCCCAGCUGGUGUUGAUUUCUCCCUGCACUGCGGCGAGAUCAUUAAUCUUGUAUGUUCUUUCACUCUGUGUGUUUUUUUUCUCUACUGAGAUUUUAAAACAGAUUGUGCCUGUUUCCACUGACCUUUGAGAGAUUUGUCAUGUGUCCUUUUUUUAAACAGGCUGUGUAAAAGCCAAUUCCUUGAGUGUAGCGGGGGUCACGGGCAGUAAUUCUGCCACCAGGGUGGUAGCCUUGAUUUUGUCAUCCUUCCCUACGGAAGAAUCAGGGCGAGGCCACCGCCACAGAAGCAUUUAUUAUUAAGCGCCUGAAGAGAUGUUCUGGAACCAUCCUGAUUAGCGAUUCUUCUCCAGGCCUGGUGAAGUCACUUCAUCCUGCCUCCUGAACUGCACUGAUAAGGCACGGCAGAUGCCGGCAGCCCCAGACUGACUGCCAAUGCCAAGGGAGAAGGGGAUUCCUGAGGAGCCCCACUGCCCCUGCAGACGUCUGUCCUUGAACCUCGUACUGGGCAGUUCUGUCCGCUGCCCAGAGAGGAAGGAUUGUAUCUGCACAAGCCGCGAAGAGAAGGGCAGUAGAAUUAUCUAGUGAAGACAGGUGUUUGGAGAGAUAUCAGUGCUUGUGGAUGAAAGAGUGGGUGUAGACAACCCACUGUGGGCUCAGGAAGCGCUUCCUUCUCCGUGGCUGGUUGUUUCCUUCUGAAUUCUUUAGGACAUUAUUUAAAGUGCCCGUUUUAGAUAAAGUUGCCAUUUUCUCCGGUGAAAGGACUUUUGCUUUGCUAUCAUUCCUUACAAGUGGUAAGGACUCAACAUUGAUGGAAUGUUUACGCUGCUUCUCACCCCACAUGGAAACCCUUUGUAGGAUUAAAAGCAAGUGAGGACAAGCCUUCAGAGAAAAAGAGGCCACAUGCCUGUCAGAGUCAGUCCCCUACCAAAUCUCUCUUGCCCGUUCCAUGUACCCAGGGCCUGUGAGUGGGAGGCGACCGCCGGGCGACCGCUCUGUAAGCGACAUUGAACUCCCCUCCUGCCCACAUCUGGUGCAGCCAUCCAAUGAAGACGCUGUUUUUCCACCUUUACAAAAUUCAAGUUGAACCCUCCUCCCAGCCUCAAUCAUGAUACCUUACUUGGACUCUUCCAAUCACAGACAUGGCUCUUUGCUUUCUGGUUUCCAUCCUUUCUUCUUCUUCUUUUUUUUUUAAUGUUUAUUGAUUUUUGAGACAGAGAGAGACAGAGCAUGA